CCAACGGCUCUUUUAAGAGCCACCCAAACACUCUACAAAAGGGCUG
rfam:Opisthocomus hoazin contig1736, whole genome shotgun sequence.